rnacentral:rRNA from 1 species
AAUCAYUAAGGAUUUUCGGAAUAACUCAGGGAAACUUGAGYUAAUACCGUAUAAUGACUCCGGUCCAAAGAUUUAUCGCCUAAGGAUGAGCCCGCGUCGGAUUAGCUAGUUGGUGAGGUAAAAGCUCACCAAGGCGACGAUCCGUAGCUGGUCUGAGAGGAUGAUCAGCCACACUGGGACUGAGACACGGCCCAGACUCCUACGGGAGGCAGCAGUGGGGAAUAUUGGACAAUGGGCGAAAGCCUGAUCCAGCAAUGCCGCGUGAGUGAUGAAGGCCUUAGGGUUGUAAAGCUCUUUUACCCGGGAUGAUAAUGACAGUACCGGGAGAAUAA